CUGAAAUUAUUAAUACAAUAAGGUAGGUGGAAGAAGGAGAUGAUUAAAAGUGAAGCCACAGCCAGUUUGUCACUUACCUAUUUUAAAAAUAACACCAGCACUGCCUCAGAGAUUUAGGCUUCUUUGGAUUUUCUAAUUUAUGUCAUAUAAAUCUUGAGAGACAUUAGGGUGCUUGCAUUCUGGUCAGCCCAUUAAUAGCCUGUAAAACUGACAGAAUAAUAAAAUAUUUCUGGAGGGUUGUGUGUUCAAUUCAUUCCAAAGUACUUUUUAUGUUAAUGACAGACAAACUAUGGUGUGUCUUAUUAUUAUUAUGUUUUAGUCGCUUUGUUUCAGUAAGAAAAUACAGUAGUCCUGUGUUCAUCUAAUUUACAGAACGUCUGAUCUGAUAUCACAGGCAGCACUGAAAGCAGAACCCAAGUUCUACCCCUUUUGUGAGAAUGAAAGUUAACCCUCCGAAAUUAUGUAGGCCACUUGGAUUUAUGUUGGAUUUAUUACUUUUGCUGUAGAAAAUUUAAAAAUGUGCAAUGAGUGCUGCCCUUUUUUUCUAAAUCAACUUUUAGCUUUCAGUGUUUGUCAGUUACUCAGUAUUACUGUGUGGUUUUGACUGGGCAAUAACUCUCAGGGCUCUGUGUUGGUGCGCAGUUUGUGUAUGUUUCUUUUCACCCUCUGCUCUAGAGCGUUCCCUGGCAGGUGCUGCUCAUUAGGGUCUAAUCACUGGACUUCUUAAGGAGCUGAGAACAGGAGGGAGACGUCAGCCCGUCGCUACUUUUUCAGUGACCCUGCCUGUUGGAUCUUUUUAAGGAUUCCAGUCCUGUGACCAGGUUCUGAGUCAGCCCCAGGGUUUGUUCCUCAUCCCCUAUUGUGAGUCUCAUUGCCUCCUCAGCUACUGGCCCCGGCCCAGAAAGGUUUUCUUACUGAGACCAAUUCCCUGUUGUUACCUGCCUGUCCACCCUCCUAUGUGGGAAUGCUCAAGCUGAGACGCCACUAGAGAACUAAUGGUUAAGAAAAGAAACUGUUACUUGCCUCACACAUCUUGCCAACCUCCAUCACAGAGGAAGGACUAUCCUCCCCAGCGAAACCAUCAUCACUCUGGCUAGAAGAACCAUUCCCCUUGCUGUUGCUGUCUGGAUUCCUGUCUUGCCUCUGUUCAUUUCCCUUCACAAAUAAAUCUGUUAAAACGC